GGGGAUUUAGCUCAGUGGCAUAAGCGCCUGCCUUGCAAGCAGGCAAACAUGAGUUUGAUCCCUG
rnacentral:tRNA from 1 species